UUAAGCGACUAAGCGUACACGGUGGAUGCCCUGGCAGUCAGAGGCGAUGAAGGACGUGCUAAUCUGCGAAAAGCGUCGGUAAGGUGAUAUGAACCGUUAUAACCGGCGAUGUCCGAAUGGGGAAACCCAGUGUGAUUCGUCACACUAUCGUUAACUGAAUACAUAGGUUAACGAGGCGAACCGGGGGAACUGAAACAUCUAAGUACCCCGAGGAAAAGAAAUCAACCGAGAUUCCCCCAGUAGCGGCGAGCGAACGGGGAGCAGCCCAGAGUCUGAAUCAGCUUGUGUGUUAGUGGAACGGUCUGGAAAGUCCGACGGUACAGGGUGAUAGUCCCGUACACCAAAAUGCACAGGUUGUGAACUCGAAGAGUAGGGCGGGACACGUGGUAUCCUGUCUGAAUAUGGGGGGACCAUCCUCCAAGGCUAAAUACUCCUGACUGACCGAUAGUGAACCAGUACCGUGAGGGAAAGGCGAAAAGAACCCCGGCGAGGGGAGUGAAAAAGAACCUGAAACCGUGUACGUACAAGCAGUGGGAGCACCUUCGGGUGUGACUGCGUACCUUUUGUAUAAUGGGUCAGCGACUUAUAUUCUGUAGCAAGGUUAACCGUAUAGGGGAGCCGCAGGGAAACCGAGUCUUAACUGGGCGUUAAGUUGCAGGGUAUAGACCCGAAACCCGGUGAUCUAGCCAUGGGCAGGUUGAAGGUUGGGUAACACUAACUGGAGGACCGAACCGACUAAUGUUGAAAAAUUAGCGGAUGACUUGUGGCUGGGGGUGAAAGGCCAAUCAAACCGGGAGAUAGCUGGUUCUCCCCGAAAGCUAUUUAGGUAGCGCCUCGUGAACUCAUCUUCGGGGGUAGAGCACUGUUUCGGCUAGGGGGUCAUCCCGACUUACCAACCCGAUGCAAACUACGAAUACCGAAGAAUGUUAUCACGGGAGACACACGGCGGGUGCUAACGUCCGUCGUGAAGAGGGAAACAACCCAGACCGCCAGCUAAGGUCCCAAAGUCAUGGUUAAGUGGGAAACGAUGUGGGAAGGCACAGACAGCCAGGAUGUUGGCUUAGAAGCAGCCAUCAUUUAAAGAAAGCGUAAUAGCUCACUGGUCGAGUCGGCCUGCGCGGAAGAUGUAACGGGGCUAAACCAUGCACCGAAGCUGCGGCAGCGACACUAUGUGUUGUUGGGUAGGGGAGCGUUCUGUAAGCCUGCGAAGGUGUGCUGUGAGGCAUGCUGGAGGUAUCAGAAGUGCGAAUGCUGACAUAAGUAACGAUAAAGCGGGUGAAAAGCCCGCUCGCCGGAAGACCAAGGGUUCCUGUCCAACGUUAAUCGGGGCAGGGUGAGUCGACCCCUAAGGCGAGGCCGAAAGGCGUAGUCGAUGGGAAACAGGUUAAUAUUCCUGUACUUGGUGUUACUGCGAAGGGGGGACGGAGAAGGCUAUGUUAGCCGGGCGACGGUUGUCCCGGUUUAAGCAUGUAGGCUGGUUAUCCAGGCAAAUCCGGAUAAUCAAGGCUGAGGUGUGAUGACGAGGCACUACGGUGCUGAAGUAACAAAUGCCCUGCUUCCAGGAAAAGCCUCUAAGCAUCAGGUAACAUCAAAUCGUACCCCAAACCGACACAGGUGGUCAGGUAGAGAAUACCAAGGCGCUUGAGAGAACUCGGGUGAAGGAACUAGGCAAAAUGGUGCCGUAACUUCGGGAGAAGGCACGCUGGUGUGUAGGUGAAGCCCCUGCGGGUGGAGCUGAGACCAGUCGAAGAUACCAGCUGGCUGCAACUGUUUAUUAAAAACACAGCACUGUGCAAACACGAAAGUGGACGUAUACGGUGUGACGCCUGCCCGGUGCCGGAAGGUUAAUUGAUGGGGUUAUCCGUAAGGAGAAGCUCUUGAUCGAAGCCCCGGUAAACGGCGGCCGUAACUAUAACGGUCCUAAGGUAGCGAAAUUCCUUGUCGGGUAAGUUCCGACCUGCACGAAUGGCGUAAUGAUGGCCAGGCUGUCUCCACCCGAGACUCAGUGAAAUUGAACUCGCUGUGAAGAUGCAGUGUACCCGCGGCAAGACGGAAAGACCCCGUGAACCUUUACUAUAGCUUGACACUGAACAUUGAGCCUUGAUGUGUAGGAUAGGUGGGAGGCUUUGAAGCGUGGACGCCAGUCUGCGUGGAGCCAACCUUGAAAUACCACCCUUUAAUGUUUGAUGUUCUAACGUUGGCCCCUUACCGGGGUUGCGGACAGUGUCUGGUGGGUAGUUUGACUGGGGCGGUCUCCUCCCAAAGCGUAACGGAGGAGCACGAAGGUUAGCUAAUCCUGGUCGGACAUCAGGAGGUUAGUGCAAUGGCAUAAGCUAGCUUGACUGCGAGCGUGACGGCGCGAGCAGGUGCGAAAGCAGGUCAUAGUGAUCCGGUGGUUCUGAAUGGAAGGGCCAUCGCUCAACGGAUAAAAGGUACUCCGGGGAUAACAGGCUGAUACCGCCCAAGAGUUCAUAUCGACGGCGGUGUUUGGCACCUCGAUGUCGGCUCAUCACAUCCUGGGGCUGAAGUAGGUCCCAAGGGUAUGGCUGUUCGCCAUUUAAAGUGGUACGCGAGCUGGGUUUAGAACGUCGUGAGACAGUUCGGUCCCUAUCUGCCGUGGGCGCUGGAGAAUUGAGGGGGGCUGCUCCUAGUACGAGAGGACCGGAGUGGACGCAUCACUGGUGUUCGGGUUGUCAUGCCAAUGGCACUGCCCGGUAGCUAAAUGCGGAAGAGAUAAGUGCUGAAAGCAUCUAAGCACGAAACUUGCCCCGAGAUGAGUUCUCCCUGAGACUUUAAGUCUCCUGAAGGAACGUUGAAGACGACGACGUUGAUAGGCCGGGUGUGUAAGCGCAGCGAUGCGUUGAGCUAACCGGUACUAAUGAACCGUGAGGCUUAACCUU
rnacentral:rRNA from 1 species